UCCGGGGUAGCUCAGCGGUAGAGCAGUUGGCUGUUAACCAAUUGGUCGUGGGUUCGAUCCCCACCCCCGGAGCCA
rnacentral:tRNA from 1 species